rnacentral:rRNA from 1 species
AAGUCGAGCGGUAACACAGGGAGCUUGCUCCUGGGUGACGAGCGGCGGACGGGUGAGUAAUGUCUGGGAAACUGCCUGAUGGAGGGGGAUAACUACUGGAAACGGUAGCUAAUACCGCAUAACGUCGCAAGACCAAAGAGGGGGACCUUCGGGCCUCUUGCCAUCAGAUGUGCCCAGAUGGGAUUAGCUAGUAGGUGGGGUAACGGCUCACCUAGGCGACGAUCCCUAGCUGGUCUGAGAGGAUGACCAGCCACACUGGGACUGAGACACGGUCCAGACUCCUACGGGAGGCAGCAGUGGGGAAUAUUGCACAAUGGGCGCAAGCCUGAUGCAGCCAUGCCGCGUGUAUGAAGAAGGCCUUCGGGUUGUAAAGUACUUUCAGCGGGGAGGAAGGUGUUGAGGUUAAUAACCUCAGCAAUUGACGUUACCCGCAGAAGAAGCACCGGCUAACUCCGUGCCAGCAGCCGCGGUAAUACGGAGGGUGCAAGCGUUAAUC